rnacentral:rRNA from 1 species
AGUGAACGCUGGCGGUAGGCCUAACACAUGCAAGUCGAACGGCAGCACAGUAAGAGCUUGCUCUUACGGGUGGCGAGUGGCGGACGGGUGAGGAAUACAUCGGAAUCUACUUUUUCGUGGGGGAUAACGUAGGGAAACUUACGCUAAUACCGCAUACGACCUACGGGUGAAAGCAGGGGAUCUUCGGACCUUGCGCGAUUGAAUGAGCCGAUGUCGGAUUAGCUAGUUGGCGGGGUAAAGGCCCACCAAGGCGACGAUCCGUAGCUGGUCUGAGAGGAUGAUCAGCCACACUGGAACUGAGACACGGUCCAGACUCCUACGGGAGGCAGCAGUGGGGAAUAUUGGACAAUGGGCGCAAGCCUGAUCCAGCCAUACCGCGUGGGUGAAGAAGGCCUUCGGGUUGUAAAGCCCUUUUGUUGGGAAAGAAAAGCAGCGGGUUAAUACCCCGCUAUUCUGACGGUACCCAAAGAAUAAGCACCGGCUAACUUCGUG